GAUGAACGCUGGCGGCGUGCUUAACACAUGCAAGUCGAACGAAGCAUUUGCGACAGAUUUUUUCGGAAUGAAGUUGCUUAUGACUGAGUGGCGGACGGGUGAGUAACGCGUGGGUAACCUGCCUUGUACUGGGGGAUAGCAGCUGGAAACGGCUGGUAAUACCGCAUAAGCGCACAAUGUUGCAUGACAUGGUGUGAAAAACUCCGGUGGUAUAAGAUGGACCCGCGUCUGAUUAGCUAGUUGGUGAGAUAACAGCCCACCAAGGCGACGAUCAGUAGCCGACCUGAGAGGGGGACCGGCAACAUUGGGAGAAAGACACGACGCAGAAUCCUACGGGAGGCAGCAGUGGGGAGUAAGGAAAAAUGAAGGAAACUAUGAAACAGCGACGAAGCGUGAGUGAAGAAGUAAGUCGUUAGGUAAAGCGCUAUGAGAAGGGAAGAUAGUGACGGUGCCUGACUAGGAAGCGCCGGCUAAAUACGUG
rnacentral:rRNA from 1 species